rnacentral:rRNA from 1 species
GUCGAGCGAACAGAUAAGGAGCUUGCUCCUUUGACGUUAGCGGCGGACGGGUGAGUAACACGUGGAUAACCUACCUAUAAGACUGGGAUAACUUCGGGAAACCGGAGCUAAUACCGGAUAACAUAUUGAACCGCAUGGUUCAAUAGUGAAAGGCGGCUUUGCUGUCACUUAUAGAUGGAUCCGCGCCGUAUUAGCUAGUUGGUAAGGUAACGGCUUACCAAGGCAACGAUACGUAGCCGACCUGAGAGGGUGAUCGGCCACACUGGAACUGAGACACGGUCCAGACUCCUACGGGAGGCAGCAGUAGGGAAUCUUCCGCAAUGGGCGAAAGCCUGACGGAGCAACGCCGCGUGAGUGAUGAAGGUCUUCGGAUCGUAAAACUCUGUUAUCAGGGAAGAACAAAUGUGUAAGUAACUGUGCACAUCUUGACGGUACCUGAUCAGAAAGCCACGGCUAACUACGUGCCAGCAGCCGCGGUAAUACGUAGGUGGCAAGCGUUAUCCGGAAUUAUUGGGCGUAAAGCGCGCGUAGGCGGUUUUUUAAGUCUGAUGUGAAAGCCCACGGCUCAACCGUGGAGGGUCAUUGGAAACUGGAAAACUUGAGUGCAGAAGAGGAAAGUGGAAUUCCAUGUGUAGCGGUGAAAUGCGCAGAGAUAUGGAGGAACACCAGUGGCGAAGGCGACUUUCUGGUCUGUAACUGACGCUGAUGUGCGAAAGCGUGGGGAUCAAACAGGAUUAGAUACCCUGGUAGUCCACGCCGUAACGAUGAGUGCUAAGUGGUUAAGGGGUUUCCGCCCCUUAGUGCUGCAGCUAACGCAUUAGCACUCCGCCUGGGGAGUACGACCGCAAAG